rnacentral:rRNA from 1 species
CCCGCUGAACUUAAGCAUAUCGAUAAGCGGAGGAAAAGAAACUAACAAGGAUUCCCCUAGUAACGGCGAGUCGAAGCGGGAUGAGCUCAAAUUUAGAAAUCUGGUAGUCUUUGGCUGCCCGAGUUGUAAUCUAGAGAAGUGUUUUCCGCGCUGGACUGUGUACAAGUUUCCUGGAUAUGGAACAUCAUAGAGGGUGAGAAUCCCGUCCUUGACGACAGACUCCCAGUGCUUUGUGAUCGCGCUCUCCACGAGUCGAGUUGUUUGGGAUUGCAGCUCAAAAUGGGAGGUAAAUUCCUUCUAAAGCUAAAUAUUGGCGAGAGACCGAUAGCGAACAAGUACCGUGAGGGAAAGAUGAAAAGCACUUUGGAAAGAGAGUUAAACAGUACGUGAAAUUGUUAAAAGGGAAACGAUUGAAGUCAGUCGCGUCUACUUGGACUCAGCCUUACUUUGGUUUGGUGCAUUUCCUUGUGGACGGGCCAGUGUCCAUGUCGAUUGCUGGAAAAGGUUCAGAGGAAUGUGACUCUUUUAGAGUGUUAUAGCCUCGGUUCAUAUACAGUGGUUGAUAUGGAGUGGUACAGCAUGCUUCGGUGGUGCUUGUGCUGGCAUAAUGGCUUUAAACGACCCGUCUUGAAACACGG